rnacentral:rRNA from 1 species
CCUACGGGAGGCAGCAGUGAGGAAUAUUGGUCAAUGGACGAGAGCCUGAACCAGCCAAGUCGCGUGAAGGAAGACGGUCCUAUGGGUUGUAAACCUCUUUUGCCUGGGAACAAAAAGCGGCACGUGUACCGCAUCGUAUGUACCCGGAGAAAAAGCAUCGGCUAACUCCGUGCCAGCAGCCGCGGUAAUACGGAGGAUCCGAGCGUUAUCCGGAUUUAUUGGGUUUAAAGGGUGCGCAGGCGGCCGGUUAAGUCAGCGGGUAAAGUUUGGGGCUUAAACGCAGAAAAGCAGUUGAAACUGGCUGGCUAGAGUGGGCGAGAAGUAGGCGGAAUGCGUGGUGUAGCGGUGAAAUGCAUAGAUAUCACGAAGAACUCCGAUUGCGAAGGCAGCAUACCGGCGCCCAACUGACGCUCAGGCACGAAAGUGUGGGUAUCGAACAGGAUUAGAUACCCGUGUAGUC